rnacentral:lncRNA from 1 species
GAUAAUAGAAUAUAUCAAACUAUAACGAAAAAUCAAAACAAACAACGUUGUACUAUAAGACGACAAAAUCACAAAAAAUAAUAUUACUCUUGUAUAUUGGAGCUAGGCCACGAUUUUUUUUGCAAUUGCAACAAAUGUUGGUAUCUCUCUUAACUUAGACGAAGCUAGUACAAGACAUUUAGAAAUUAUUGCCUUUGAUUUUGUUAGAAU